UACGACAUAUUGGAUCUACGCUUUUGAGGUGCAGACGAAUUCACCAACAACUUGUCGUCCUUUAAUAGAUAAGAUAAUGCGAGAAUAUUCUCUCAUUGACGUGGACAACACGACACCGUUGCGGGAUGGUAUAAACAUUCAGUCCGAAGUCGAAGCCGAGCUCCAAAUGGAAGAAACACUGCAAAUGGGAACGGAGGUCAAUGAAUCAAAUGGAAGUCAAAAUCGCUCUAUUUUGUAGCGUCUUUCGCAGUGCUUACGAUCUUAUUUACUGUCGGACGGCUCAGGGAGCGAAGGAGUGUUCGUAGUUCGUGUUAUUUACGAGAUGAUGAUCACAAGCCUCAGUACGCAUUUAAAACGUGUCUUGGCUGACAAUUCUUAUUCUGCGUUCAAACACUUGAAGCUCAAUAUGAAUAAAGGUAGAGAUUGCCCGCUGUCUUAUUUCAAAUAUGAUAUUGAGUUUAGCUGCUGAAACUGUGUUGUUAUUAGUACCAAAUGAAAUGUUUACUGAUGGAAUGGUAUGAUAAGCAGCUAUAAUUCAAGUUUUUAAUUGUAUUUAUCAUUGUUUGUCUCGGAAAGUUGGUUUCAGGGCUUUUUAAGCUGAAUAUUUUCCAUGGUGCAACAUGAUAUAGGGGAAUGGAAAUCUGGAAGAUUUUAUGUUUAUAGUUUUUGUUGAACAGCUAGCGAUGGAGUUAUCAGUGCUCGAUGAUCUUUUGUAUUUUAAGAUUAAGUUGGCGGCCUUGUCUUUGUCCCAUUCUUCAUAGCUUAUAGUGCAUUGGAGCUUAACUACUAUUUAUGGAGUUCAAGUCUGCACCACUUCCAGGAUGGCUACUGCCCUACACAUUAUUACCAAUCCUUCUCUAAGGUUGAUAUUGACAAGGUCAGCAUCAAACCAAUUAAACAAAGACUCAUUCAUCCAGGUAAACAUUACUAUUUUAAUUAAUCUAGCUUCUG